UAAGCGACUAAGCGUACACGGUGGAUGCCUAGGCAGUCAGAGGCGAUGAAGGGCGUGCUAAUCUGCGAAAAGCGUCGGUAAGCUGAUAUGAAGCGUUAUAACCGACGAUACCCGAAUGGGGAAACCCAGUGCAAUACGUUGCACUAUCGUUAGAUGAAUACAUAGUCUAACGAGGCGAACCGGGGGAACUGAAACAUCUAAGUACCCCGAGGAAAAGAAAUCAACCGAGAUUCCCCCAGUAGCGGCGAGCGAACGGGGAGGAGCCCAGAGUCUGAAUCAGUUUGUGUGUUAGUGGAAGCGUCUGGAAAGUCGCACGGUACAGGGUGAUAGUCCCGUACACCAAAAUGCACAGGCUGUGAACUCGAUGAGUAGGGCGGGACACGUGACAUCCUGUCUGAAUAUGGGGGGACCAUCCUCCAAGGCUAAAUACUCCUGACUGACCGAUAGUGAACCAGUACCGUGAGGGAAAGGCGAAAAGAACCCCGGCGAGGGGAGUGAAAUAGAACCUGAAACCGUGUACGUACAAGCAGUGGGAGCACCUUCGUGGUGUGACUGCGUACCUUUUGUAUAAUGGGUCAGCGACUUAUAUUUUGUAGCAAGGUUAACCGAAUAGGGGAGCCGUAGGGAAACCGAGUCUUAACUGGGCGUCUAGUUGCAAGGUAUAGACCCGAAACCCGGUGAUCUAGCCAUGGGCAGGUUGAAGGUUGGGUAACACUAACUGGAGGACCGAACCGACUAAUGUUGAAAAAUUAGCGGAUGACUUGUGGCUGGGGGUGAAAGGCCAAUCAAACCGGGAGAUAGCUGGUUCUCCCCGAAAGCUAUUUAGGUAGCGCCUCGUGAACUCAUCUUCGGGGGUAGAGCACUGUUUCGGCUAGGGGGCCAUCCCGGCUUACCAAACCGAUGCAAACUCCGAAUACCGAAGAAUGUUAUCACGGGAGACACACGGCGGGUGCUAACGUCCGUCGUGAAGAGGGAAACAACCCAGACCGCCAGCUAAGGUCCCAAAGUCAUGGUUAAGUGGGAAACGAUGUGGGAAGGCACAGACAGCCAGGAUGUUGGCUUAGAAGCAGCCAUCAUUUAAAGAAAGCGUAAUAGCUCACUGGUGGAGUCGGCCUGCGCGGAAGAUGUAACGGGGCUAAACCAUGCACCGAAGCUGCGGCAGCGACACUUAGGUGUUGUUGGGUAGGGGAGCGUUCUGUAAGCCGUUGAAGGUGACCUGUGAGGGUUGCUGGAGGUAUCAGAAGUGCGAAUGCUGACAUAAGUAACGAUAAUGCGGGUGAAAAACCCGCACGCCGGAAGACCAAGGGUUCCUGUCCAACGUUAAUCGGGGCAGGGUGAGUCGACCCCUAAGGCGAGGCUGAAAAGCGUAGUCGAUGGGAAACAGGUUAAUAUUCCUGUACUUGGUGUUACUGCGAAGGGGGGACGGAGAAGGCUAGGCUGGCCGGGCGACGGUUGUCCCGGUUUAAGCGUGUAGGGGGAGUGACCAGGUAAAUCCGGUUGCUUAUCAACCCUGAGGCGUGAUGACGAUGCACCACGGUGCAGAAGCAGUUGAUGCCAUGCUUCCAGGAAAAGCCUCUAAGCAUCAGGUAACAUUAAAUCGUACCCCAAACCGACACAGGUGGUCAGGUAGAGAAUACUCAGGCGCUUGAGAGAACUCGGGUGAAGGAACUAGGCAAAAUGGUGCCGUAACUUCGGGAGAAGGCACGCUGGCGUUAGGUGAAAGGACUAGCUCCUGGAGCUGAAGCCAGUCGCAGAUACCAGCUGGCUGCAACUGUUUAAUAAAAACACAGCACUGUGCAAACACGAAAGUGGACGUAUACGGUGUGACGCCUGCCCGGUGCUGGAAGGUUAAUUGAUGGGGUCAGCCGCAAGGCGAAGCUCUUGAUCGAAGCCCCAGUAAACGGCGGCCGUAACUAUAACGGUCCUAAGGUAGCGAAAUUCCUUGUCGGGUAAGUUCCGACCUGCACGAAUGGCGUAAUGAUGGCCAGGCUGUCUCCACCCGAGACUCAGUGAAAUUGAACUCGCUGUGAAGAUGCAGUGUACCCGCGGCAAGACGGAAAGACCCCGUGAACCUUUACUAUAGCUUGACACUGAACAUUGAGCCUUGAUGUGUAGGAUAGGUGGGAGGCCUUGAAGUGUGGACGCCAGUCUGCAUGGAGCCAACCUUGAAAUACCACCCUUUAAUGUUUGAUGUUCUAACUCGGCCCAUGAUCUGGGGUGAGGACAGUGUCUGGUGGGUAGUUUGACUGGGGCGGUCUCCUCCCAAAGAGUAACGGAGGAGCACGAAGGUUAGCUAAUCACGGUCGGACAUCGUGAGGUUAGUGCAAAGGCAUAAGCUAGCUUGACUGCGAGAGUGACGGCUCGAGCAGGUACGAAAGUAGGUCUUAGUGAUCCGGUGGUUCUGAAUGGAAGGGCCAUCGCUCAACGGAUAAAAGGUACUCCGGGGAUAACAGGCUGAUACCGCCCAAGAGUUCAUAUCGACGGCGGUGUUUGGCACCUCGAUGUCGGCUCAUCACAUCCUGGGGCUGAAGUAGGUCCCAAGGGUAUGGCUGUUCGCCAUUUAAAGUGGUACGCGAGCUGGGUUUAGAACGUCGUGAGACAGUUCGGUCCCUAUCUGCCGUGGGCGUUGGAAGAUUGAGAGGGGCUGCUCCUAGUACGAGAGGACCGGAGUGGACGAAUCACUGGUGUUCGGGUUGUCAUGCCAAUGGCAUUGCCCGGUAGCUAAAUUCGGAAGAGAUAACCGCUGAAAGCAUCUAAGCGGGAAACUUGCCUCGAGAUGAGUCUUCCCUGGGGCUUAAAGCCCCCUGAAGGAACGUUAAAGACUAUGACGUUGAUAGGCUGGGUGUGUAAGUGCAGCGAUGUAUUGAGCUAACCAGUACUAAUGAUCCGUGAGGCUUAACCU
rnacentral:rRNA from 1 species